GAUGAACGCUAGCGACAGGCUUAACACAUGCAAGUCGAGGGCGAGCAUAAAAGUAGCAAUACUUUGGUGGCGACCGGCGCACGGGUGAGUAACGCGUAUGCAACCUACCUAUCAGAGGGGGAUAACCCGGCGAAAGUCGGACUAAUACCGCAUAAAACAGGGGCACCGCAUGGUGAUAUUUGUUAAAAAUUUAUUGCUGAUAGAUGGGCAUGCGUUCCAUUAGGUAGUUGGAGAGGUAACGGCUCACCAAGCCCACGAUGGAUAGGGGAACUGAGAGGUUGGUCCCCCACACUGGUACUGAGACACGGACCAGACUCCUACGGGAGGCAGCAGUGAGGAAUAUUGGUCAAUGGGCGAGAGCCUGAACCAGCCAAGUCGCGUGAAGGAAGAAGGAUCUAUGGUUCGUAAACUUCUUUUGCAGGGGAAUAAAGUGCAGGACGUGUCCUGUUUUGUAAUGUACCCUGAGAAUAAGGAUCCGGCUAACUCCGUGCCAGCAGCCGCGGUAA
rnacentral:rRNA from 1 species